CCUACCUGCCACGUAUUUCUCGUGGUGGGUAUUAUGUAAGAUAGCUAUAGAUAGGAUGACGUCAUCCGCGAUGUAUGAUGGCUAACCAUGACAUUAGACCGGGUAUGACCGUAUAUGCAUCCUUCUGAUCUAGUAUUAUGAUACAUUUCUCCGUUUACACUUCUCUAAGAACAAUCAGUUUGUUCGACAUAAAAAAUAAUACCUGUGUUCAGGCAAACGGUAUAGUUUGUACCAAAUAAGCAGGUUGUUCAGUUUGUGUCAUAGAUGUGAACUGAUAUUAUCCAUGGCGACAGUAUGAUGUUUUAAUACUACGUUGUUCAUAUGGUGUUUCAGUAAUGCGCUCAAGUACGUAUAGUUAAACGUCGCUCCUCAGCUUUGUGCUGCUGAGCAAAUUAGAACUUGCCAGACAUUUUAUUACCGUACUCGCUAAGUUACACGAUACAGCACUAGAAGUGUCAACACGCCUUGCCUUGAGCAGUGAGUCGUCACUGGGUCCAAAGUCCACCCCUUGUACUCACUGAACCGCACUGUUCUACCCGCUCUGAUGACCGUGCCGAGCAAAAUCAUGUGUGACGUCAUUAAGUCAUGUGAUCAAUUGAUUAUUCAUCUGAUAGAUGAAUCUGAUAGAUGAAUACUGGAAAUGACCAUAUAUGGUAGUGAGAUAAAAGAAAUAUCGAUUUUUGUUCAUGGAAAGUUUUGAAAUAAAGAAGGGAAUCCAUUUUCUUAUUUCCAAGGAAACAAAACGGCUUAAACUGGAGAUUAUUUGUCAAAUAUGGGAUAAUAUUUAUAACUUCUCAGAGGGUUGCAGAUCAAAUCCAAAGGCGAAUGAACUUUUUCCUCUUAUACAUAUUGCGACACCAAUGUGAUUGUUGAAAAGCAUUUAUUCAGCGUUUGAGUAUAUACUGAGAAUAUAGUGUGGUUAUACUGAUGAAUGAACAGUGAUAAGACUUAAAAUUACGAUGAAAAUGUACAGGUGAUGUAGAGAUUAAAUAUAUCGAUGUAUUUUUGCUUACAUUGCUUAAAGGAUGACAGCAGAAGGAAAAGAAAGCGGGGUAUCGCAUACAGAGUUAUCGCAUACAGAGCGGGGUGUCGCAUACAGAGUUAAACAAAAGAUAAAAUAUAUAUCAAAGAAAAAUUUUUUAGGGGAAAACACGAAAACAAAAUUGAACUGACAUUAUCAUAGUGUUAUUGACGGAGUUACUUUAUAUCAAAGGAACGUGUUGUGGCGAAAAAACUAUGAAAGUAGAACAAAUAUUUACAUAUGUUUUGAUGACGUAGUUUUCUUGAGGUCCAAAGGACAAAUGUUAGUUUAACGUGAGAUAUUGGCACGUGUUACCCGAAGUGGAUCACAUAUGGGACGGCUGGGUCAGGUCACUGAUGUCAUUGUUGUGUCAUGCGUCCUACAUAGAUGUUCACCUCCUGCCGGCACAGCUGAUAAAGUGGUCUGUGACCAGGCCAAGAUCAUGGGAGUGGCACAGCGUUCCGAUGCACCGUCUAGCCGCCACUUUACAUGUAGAUCAGGUCUUGUCGCACUUCCACUAUUAAGUAUGUCAAAAGUGGGUGAUUUUCCAGCUGAUGCUAUAUGUGAGCCCCAUGUUGUGUAAUCGUCCCGGUCCAGCUGGUCACAGCGACCGAGUUGGCCCUCAACAUCCGUAUGGGAUCCACCAGGUCUAACUGACACGCACAAAUCAUACACAUAUGUAAAUGGGCUGUCUGACAGUACGUGGCUUUAGAACACUUUGUCAAGCUACAGUACGAGGUAAUAGCUCGGAAAACAUUGUUUGAUUUAUGACUAAGCGUUAGGCUAAUAGAUUCAGGUAUAAGUAACUGAUAAAACUUAAGCUUUCUGAGCUUCAUGCAAAUACGAUCCGGCAAGGCUUUUAUAGUCUCAGUUAAGAUUGUAGAGCUGUUCGGUUGUGACUUUUGAUAGACCGAAAGUCAAAUAUUUGCUAGGCUGCUUUAAACAUGGUGCAAUUAGCUGUUGCAGACCAUCGUCACGCGUGAUCAGUCAGUGUUUCCCGCAUGGUCACUGACCUAGCUUGUCUCUCUAUACCAAAUGCCCACCGGGUCCUGUCUUCGUCCGGUACACGUGUACUGCGAAUGUUCAGGAUGCCAGCAGGGCCAAAUUAAAGCCAGAUGACCUCAGACUUGUAUCACUUCUCUUACCACAUUCUCUGUUUGUUUGCAGAUGACCUUGGCUUGAUCCAACUACCAAUCUCUACUUCACAAUCAAGGCGUUUGGACUCCAUCCCGGAUCUAACCUUUGACCUGUACCAAGGACACUAGGUAGUGAUAUAAGCCACCAACCCCCUCCCUGACACCAUGCAGACUUUAAGCCAGCGGAAGCAAGAGUUAGCUCUGGCUCCAGGAACCAACAUGAAAGGCCUUGUGUUGUUGAUCUUCUGCUAUGCCUACAGCAUCGCCUUGUUCCUGGUGGCGGCUUGGCUAACAAGUGUCUUCAUUACACUUAAAGGAACAGUUCUUUCUAAAAUCCCGUUCUCUCAUCUGCUGUUAAAAAACAAAGAAGAAGAUGUCAGGAUUAAAGAAGACGAGGACCAUGCUCGCGCUGCGCAUGCAUGGGGACAACGAUGAAGGAGAGGAAUGAUGUUGCCUGAUCUGAAUGGACUAUCCGAUGCGAACAGAGUUUUCGAUGCUAUGGAAACCUGUGGUCAUGUCUAGUCUGGGCCAUCUCCGGAGUCUGCGUCCUUGCAAAGUAACUCUGGAACUUUAAUUGCUUUACACACAGAACCAUUAUUGUCUGGGUGAAAAGUUUCAGCAAGAGUUGUUCCUCUCUUGACUCGUACCUUUACGGGACUGACCAACGUCUGCCGCUGGCUGGCUGGCUGGCUGGCUGAGAUCUGAGAACGGAGCACUAAAUCCUCAGUGACAUUUAACUUCUGGUUAUCGCCCCUCAUCACCGAGUGUUACGUAACCUUCCACUAUCAGAGAGGUUACAAGGUUACAUCUUUCAGGGAGUUACGCGGGGGGUCUACAUUGCUGACGGUGCUGGCGCCUGUCUGGCUAAAACCCAUAUUUCACGCGGUGUUACUUUGAAGAAAGCGGAAACCAUGCAGGCAUCAUGUUUUCAGUGGCUGGAACAAAUCUGUAUUCUCCCCAUAGUGAAACCGCAUGCGUAUGGCAGCUCUGAACAACCGGGAUUUCUUGUGAAAGAAGAAACCGUUAGUUUUCGGUUUAACAUGUAACUGCGGAUGCAGCUGAAAUCGUCAGUCGAAAAUGACUCUCUUGUCCUGUCACGUAGGAACCUGGCGUCCACUUUACUUACUACGCAAUUAUGCUAUCGCACAUUCUCGUGAGAUUCGUCCUUCAUCAAACUCAGGUUAUCACCCAUAAUACCAGAAGUAUUAGACAACAAGUUGUAUCAGGGAACUUGGUUUAUUAGGUCACAAAUCGUUAACAUGAGUAAAAAGUUUCCUUUUGUCUGUCAUUGAGUUCAUGUAGACUAACACCAUUCUACUUAACUUCAUGCCAUUGUACAAUCUUCAUACUGAACAGUUUGCUGGUCAUUUUAAACUAAUCCAAUUAAAUAAGUAUAUAUUGUUAUAUUCAUUUAAUUUAAAAAAAGGAUUUGUGUGUGAUUUUGCCAGACGUUUGGAAAUUAUAGCUAGUGCAUUUUGCUGUAACAUGUACCAAUUCUAAACCAGUCGCAUCUCAUUUUAUAUCAUAAAUCGUUCUUGGAGUAAAAGAUGAAUGUCCUUCGUUACUAUAUGAGUAUCAUUAAACAUUGAGACUGAGAGACUGUCAUUGCAGUUGAAAGGCCACGUAUGCAUUUCAGACUUCUAUGUCUGGUCAUUCAUGUAUUCCAGACUUCACUGUCUGGCCAUUCAUGUAUUUCAGACUUCUGUGUCUGGCCUUUCAUGUAUUUCAGACUUCUAUGACUGGCUAUUCAUGUGAUUCAGACUUCUAUUUCUGGCCAUUAUGCAUUAUGUAUUUCAGACUUUUAGGUCUGGCCAUUCAUCUGUCAUGUUGCAGCAGUGAAUAUGAGCUUGUACUAUAUCUCACGAUCAAUCUGGGCUUCCCUUUUGUUACUAAAACCGUGUACAUAUCUGUUAAAAAUUUGUUAUUUGAAAUGAUAUUAAAAACAGAAAUAUCUUUAUGAUUUCUAAA